UUAUUAUAGCUAACCUUUUAUCUUGCCUUUUUUUUUAAUUUUUUUUUUUUUUGGGUUUUAGAAUAAACAAUCAAGAAAAGCUCGAGGUAACUGAAGCGCUAGUGGAUCUAAUGAUCAAGAAGUGGAAUGAGCAACCAAAGAAAGAUAAUUUCGACGUAAAAGAAGUUCAUCUCAAAUUACUAGACGAUCUUGUUAAUGUUAAUUCUCUAUUAACCAUCGCAGUUUUCGUGGGCUUAUCGAUGGCCACACCGGGCAUUCGCAGCCUUGACACUCGAGACGAAUGCCACGCUGGUCCAGGCGAAGCCAAAAUGCUCAUUGUACACGAGUCAUAGCAUUUUCUUGCUUCCUUUUGUCUAGCAUUGUUGCCAAGGUGCUAAAGCUACACUUAUACCUCGAUGGGGCACGUUACGUUAUUGUGAGCAGAGAUUUUGACUUGAAAGAUUUUAUGCUGAUAUUAACCUCAUGCGCGUCGGUUGCUGGGAUAGUUUUGCUGGCUCUUUCCAUUGUCAACAUUAUUCAAAUUCGGAUCGGGUUAUUAUCGUGUGGGAGUAAAGAAUCGAGGCUGGCCGUGAUGUGUUUAGGUAUAAUUGUGGGGAUUGCUUUGGUGAUUUAUGUUGUGUCAAUGGUUAUAGCCAUCUUUGCUUCUUUUAAAAGUGAUGCUGUGGUCAAAAGUGAUGAAACAAAAAAUGGUGCACUAGAAAAUGAUGAUAAGGCUUUGUUCGUUGCGAUUCAAACUGGAGGUUCUGGUGGAAAGAUCCCAUCCGCUGAAGUUGGGGUUUGAUUUANNNNNNNNNNNNNNNNNNNNNNNNNNNNNNNNNNNNNNNNNNNNNNNNNNNNNNNNNNNNNNNNNNNNNNNNNNNNNNNNNNNNNNNNNNNNNNNNNNNNAGGCGAGAAUGUAGCGAGUACGAGUCGGGAUAUGGAAUGAUGGUUUUAGAGAGUUGUUUAGUAGUCCUCACCAUUUUUAUAAAAUAAUGUAUCAAUAAUUAUGAUGAGGAUUUAUUUGUAUGUGGAUAUUGUUUAGAUGGCAAUAUCUGUAUUUAAACUCACAGUUUUACUGUUGUAAUAAUAAAGUUAUAGUUAUUUUUGUACCGUGUAUUGACAACUCAGAAUGGGUGAUGUAUACCUAUUUUGGGGGUGUCACAUAGAAAUUGGACAUAAGUGUAUUUAAAUUUUAUUUAUUUGUAUUUUGACCCCAAUAGUGUGUAAAAAUACAAAUAUGUAAAAUUCAAAUCAUUAAUGUCCACCUAGAAGAACUUAUUUUCUUUAUUUUUACUUUUCUUAAUAUGUGUGUAAAUUAUACUUUGUUCAUUAUAUUGGGAAGGGAGGGAGUAUCUACUUCUCUAUCACUCCAAAGUUCUUCCAAUUUGGAGUCUCAUCUCCAAAAUGUUUAUACCUACGGAAGAGGCGAAGAGCACGUACGAAAUAUCAUAUAUGUUUACAUACUGUUAUAUAUAUGAUCAAAAAACAUGUUGACAUUCAGUGGCGGAACCAGAAAAUUUUCAUAGGGGGGGGGCAAAAUACAUCAGUAAAAAAAUUUUAUUUAUUGACGCUUGAAGUGCUUCUUUCGGUUUUACGACUAAGAGGAGGUAACUGUAUCAUGCGAGUCUGUAUAGUUUAAAAACGUCUCAAAAUUUGCUCGUUUUCAAUUGUUGGAAAAAUAUAAUAAUUCAAUGUGUUUGUAAAAAUUGUAGGAAUAUAAAAAUGAGCAUAUUUGAUUGAAUCUCUUCACAAAGAUUUCUUGAUUACAUAUUAACUAAAGGUUAAUUUGGAGUUUUUCUGGAAAAGAAUGCAUUUAAAAAUUGAGAUGCUUAUUAUAUCACCCAUUAAUUAAAUUAAAGGCUACUUUGGAGUUUCUAAUGCAUCAAAUAAGAAAUAAAUUGUGUUUUCAUGCAACUUUUAAUAGAUUUUGACUAUUGAGAGCGUGUGCCUCAGAAUUUUUAAAAUUAAAAAAAUUAUAUUAAUUUAGAGUUUAAAAAUAUCUUAAUUUGAUUUUAAAAAGUUCAUAAUAAUUUUAUAUUGAACAAAACAAAAUAGCCUCUUUAUUUUUUUUAUUUGCAAACAUUUUGUCAUUAUUUAGACAAUUCAAAUUUACGUUUCUCACUCACAUUGAGUUGCAGGACCUAUAAAAAAAAUACAGAAAAGAUAUAAAAUAUAUGUAAAUAUCAUUUUUUUCUCUCCAAACCUUAAUCUUAGUACCAGCCUACCGGGGGCAGAUGCCCCCCCUGACCCCCCUGGUUCCGCCAGUGUUGACAUUAAAUAUUCGUAUAUGAAUACAGGUGAUAAGAGUGUAAAAAAAUUAAGAAAUUCUUUUAUUUUAUCAUUUACAUUUUCACAUUAGUUGAAAUAAUUCACAUAAAACAUCAUAAUGAUUUUCCAUAAACAUAUUCAAAACAAAAACAAAACUCCAAGAUAUUCUUUACUAGCCAGUAUAUGUACAUAUGGAAGAAGAUGAAUCAUUGCUCGGUAUCAGCAAUGAAUUAUUGAUGAAUAAAGAAGAAAAAGAAAAAGGGAAAUUGGUCGAGCCUCGAUGAGGACUGAUCACAUGAAAUGUACAACUUGUCAUUUUGCUUUAACCUAGCCCCCACCACAGCUAAUGCCAGCUUGACCAGACCCAAUCCAAGCCAUAUUUAAUUUACUCUAGUCAAAUCAUUUUCUUUUUUUUACCCUCCCCAUACACAUUAAUUGCACCAAUGGGAAAUAUUUAAUCGCGUUGGAUAAGGAAAGUUUGUUCUGAAGAUAUUAUUAUUUCCUUAUAUCAGUAUAAAAUGGGAAAAGAAUUUUUUUUAUUGCAAUUACUACAAUUUGAAAAGAAAAUAUCUUAAUUAAGUUCUACCUGGUUGGAUACAUACCUAAACAAAUAGUAGUAGUAUCUUGUUAAUAGGAGUUCGCUUUUUCUAGGAUCUUCUUUCAAGGCUUUACUACAGUUUUUUCAAUAUAUAACUUGGACUACACUAUCACUCGAUCUCCAAUCUGAUGAGGGUUUAGUCAAGAAUAUCUUCUACUUUUUCUCAUCACUAUCCCAAAUUAAUUUCUUCUACUUAAAAGAAAGAAGCAAGAACCUUGAACACAGCCGCAAGAGAAAGAUCAAGAAAAUAUAAGAGAAGAAAUACCUAACAUGGCAGGGUAUCCAUCUCACUCUCUUGCAAUAUCUAUCCAUACUUUUAAAUUUGAAUAAAAUUUCAAUUGUUUCACUAAAAAAAGUCAUGUUUAUUACUUAUUAUAGCUAACCUUUUAUCUUGCCUUUUUUUUUAAUUUUUUUUUUUUUUGGGUUUUAGAAUAAACAAUCAAGAAAAGCUCGAGGUAACUGAAGCGCUAGUGGAUCUAAUGAUCAAGAAGUGGAAUGAGCAACCAAAGAAAGAUAAUUUCGACGUAAAAGAAGUUCAUCUCAAAUUACUAGACGAUCUUGUUAAUGUUAAUUCUCUAUUAACCAUCGCAGUUUUCGUGGGCUUAUCGAUGGCCACACCGGGCAUUCGCAGCCUUGACACUCGAGACGAAUGCCACGCUGGUCCAGGCGAAGCCAAAAUGCUCAUUGUACACGAGUCAUAGCAUUUUCUUGCUUCCUUUUGUCUAGCAUUGUUGCCAAGGUGCUAAAGCUACACUUAUACCUCGAUGGGGCACGUUACGUUAUUGUGAGCAGAGAUUUUGACUUGAAAGAUUUUAUGCUGAUAUUAACCUCAUGCGCGUCGGUUGCUGGGAUAGUUUUGCUGGCUCUUUCCAUUGUCAACAUUAUUCAAAUUCGGAUCGGGUUAUUAUCGUGUGGGAGUAAAGAAUCGAGGCUGGCCGUGAUGUGUUUAGGUAUAAUUGUGGGGAUUGCUUUGGUG
rnacentral:lncRNA from 1 species